rnacentral:rRNA from 1 species
GACGAACGCUGGCGGCGUGCCUAAUACAUGCAAGUCGAACGCAGUGGGGACGGGUGAGUAACACGUGGGUAACCUCCCAUCAGAGGGGAUAACACUUGGAAACAGGUGCUAAACCGAUACUGAUGGAUGGACCCGCGGUGCAUUAGCAAGGUGGUGAGGUAACGGCUCACCAAGGCCACGAUGCAUAGCCGGCCUGGUAGGGUGAUCGGCCACACUGGGACUGAGAGACGGCCACGACUCCUACGGGAGGCAGCAGUAGGGAAUAGUCGGCAAUGGGCGAAAGGCUGACCGAGCCACGCCGCGUGAGUGAAGAAGGUUUUCGGAUGGUAAAACUCUGUUGUUAGGGAAGCGGUAUCUAACCAGAAAGCAACGGCUAACUACGUGCCAGCAGCCGCGGUAAUAC